rnacentral:lncRNA from 1 species
UAGGUGGAGAACUCACUUGGAAAGCUUCAUGAUGUCUUGAGCGAAUACAGAUUGUCCAUUAUAGAGCCACAGUCAUGCUUUGCCAGCCUAGAGAUGGAAACAACUGAUCCCAGGUAGGUCCAACAGGAUAGUCAUUCCCCUUCUUGAAUCAUUUGAAGUUUCACUGCAGACUUUUCUCUGAAUUCAUUUGCAUUUCACAUUUCAGGAUGUCCCUCUGCAUCCCGAACUCCAAAAUGAGCAAGUCAGAGACUAACUCUAUAAAGGACAGCCUGGGAUGAAUGGUGUACUUUUGCAGCUCUAAAAACAAAUGAGAAGGGAACUUCAAGAAAUCAGGGGAAGUUGUGGACUGAGUGGAGAUGACAAGAGGGCUGCACGAGUUAAGUAAGUGGUAGCAGAGGUUACUGAGUGCCGCAAAGCAUCAUGGAAUAAGUGGACAAGCAAGCAGUUUCUACCAGCUUGAACUGCUCAUAGCUGAGAGCGGAUAUCUUCUCUGGAGGAUUUGCUAAUAAAGUACACUACAGCUUAGCUACAGCAACUGUGUCACUCACUGGAGGUUGACAAGUGACAACCCCGACCUAAAUUGGCAGUGGGGCAGAGAACACUGGGCUAGUGUGCUGACUGGUCCCUUUUGCCACUAUAGAGAUGUUUCGAGCAAUGGUAUGUCUACCAGAACCAAUCGCAGGGUUAAUCUGGAUGGAGGAAGAAAAGGUUCACUGAAUAGGGUGUAACUCUUUUAAAGAGCCAGCAUGUCAUCCAUGCUCAACUGUCAGAACUCACAAAAGUUAACUCAUUGUUUACAGUAGCUAUAGAGACAUAGAAUAUGGUAGAUUUGUGCACAAAGAAAAGAUGCAGCAUAAGGAUACCUAAAAGGAUCAAACAGAAGGGAGAUUAGAAAAGGUUACGUAGGAAGCUCACAUGAUCCUAUGACCACAAAGAUGAAGAAUCCAAGCACGAUAGGUCCAACAGGAUAGUCAUUCCCCUUCUUCACAGUAGUUUCAGGCACUGAGCCCCUCUUUGUGAUGUUCUUCUGAAACUUCGCACUCUUCCUGUCAGCAAGACGCCUUGAAGUAGUCUGCAGAGGAAAUGAAACCAAUUUAGUAUACAGAACAUAACAAAAUGCCAUGGACAGAGAUA